rnacentral:lncRNA from 1 species
GGCAGGUAUUCGGUUUCAUCAGGUUCACAAUGCACAAAAUGUGAUACGAUUGGUCUUCAGAACAAGUUUGGAUUAGACAGGUUUCCGGUUUAUUCAGGGUUCGGUUUAAUCAGGUUUCACUGUAACAAUGAACUUGCACAAAGAUAUGAAGAAGUACAUGACAACAAAAUAUCAUUUCAUCAUCAAAACAGAAAAGUUCUAAAAUGAAACCAAAAGAACUGAAUAUAAAGAAUGAUAAUUGUCAUGUGUAACAGAGAAGGCUGUUGGUGCUUGAUUGAGUCCUUAAAGUUUUAUUUUUAAAAUCAUAAGAAAAACAUUUAAGUCUUAAAGACACUAAGCACAGGAACUGGUUGUUGCUUUAAACGAAGAUUCAAUACACUUACGUUUUAUCAUUUAAUUCCAAGCAGGCAAAGAAUAAUACAUUAUGAGUUUCUCCUUCAAUUGGAGGAAUAUUCGUUUUACAGUUAGGGAGCUACCAUUUGAUUUUUAUGGGGGGCUAGGAUGAAAUUUGGGGGAAAAAAGGCAGGACAGGAUUUUGAGUUAAAAAAAAAAAGGCAGGAUGAGUAACUUGGCAAAAAAAAAAAGGCAGGAUGACAAUUGUUGUAAAAAAGUCAGGAUAAGCUAAGAAAAAAAAAAGGCAGGACCGAAUAGACUGAAAAAUAAAAAGGCAGGACAGAGAUUACAAAUAAAAAAAGGCAGGACACAAUUUUUCAUCCUAGCCCCCCCCCCCCCCCAUAAAAAUCAAAUGGUAGCUCCCUUAAAAUGAUGACUCCUACCAUGUGUUUGUAUAUCAUUUUAUUAAUAUGAUAGUCAUUCCAAGCUGGCAAAGAAUAAUACAUUAUGAGGUACUCCUUCGUUGGAGGAAUAUUCGUGUUAAAUUUACAAUUAUGACUCCUACCUGCCAACUGUAUCUAUGUGUUUGUUGUAUGUGUUUUUUUAUUAACAGCCAUAGCAUUAUUUAUACUGUAUGUUGAAAACUAACAAAACUCAAUAACAUGACAAAUUUUUAGCAAUACUCUAACUAAAACACAUGUCAUAACGUAGUCAAAAUUGAAAGUCAUAUCAUUAAUUAAUAUGAAAUUGUAUUACUCAUAUUGUUUCAUUCUUGCAUUUCCCUUUAACUAAUUUUUCACACCUGGUAUAUAUGAAUUAAAAAUUGGAUAUCGUGUUUUUAUUCCAGAUAAAUAGACGAUGAUCACAUCUUUGGUUAAUAUUAUAAUUAUAAUUAUAGUCUGAAUUAUAGCCCGUAAGCAUUAUAUCUGUAGGUAUAGGAAUAUUUAAAAACAAAUACAGACAAUAGACAAUAUUUAUUAGUACAAACACAUUUACAAUAAAUGGUUAUGGCAUACAUGCAUACACCAUUGAGAUAAUCAACUGACAAUUAUUAAAUUUACUGUAAUUAAAUGAGAGUGACAUGCAUGCAGUGGUAGUCACACGAAAAAAAAGAGACUAUAAAAACAUGAGUAUAUCUAGACGGUUAACUCACUAUCAAUGUUAUUGAACAAAAUAAUAAAAAAAAAAAUAGUAUACAUAUUAAAAAAAUAUAAAUUAUACAGAUUUUCUUAAUAAAAAACUGCUAUUCAAAAGUGUGGUUAUACAUGUAUGCCUCUGUGUUAUAUAUAUCUGAAUGCAAUUUAAAAUAGAGUUGAAAUUAAGAUUAGUAUUAAUAUUUUGUAAAUAGGUAUCCCUCAAUGUUAAAUAGCAUGGACAGACUGGGAAGAAAUGGUAUUCAUCCUCAAUUUCUUGUCUGUUACAGGAUAAGCAAAUGCAUUGAUUUCUUUCAAUGUUGGUACAUAGCGCCCCCUUUCUGAAUUGCAAGGGAAUGGGCUUUAGGUUUAAAUUUACUGAGAACUGAUCUGUCAGUUUUAUUUUUACAUACAGUAAAACCUGACUAAACCGAACCCUUUCGGGACUUGAGAUUUCGUUCGUUUUUGGCAGGUAUUCGGUUUCAUCAGGUUCACAAUGCAUAAAAUGUGAUAUGAUUGGUCUUCAGAACAAGUUUGGAUUAGACAGGUUUCCGGUUUAUUCAGGGUUCGGUUUAAUCAGGUUUCACUGUAUAUCACAAGUGUG